rnacentral:rRNA from 1 species
GACGAACGCUGGCGGCGUGCUUAACACAUGCAAGUCGAACGGAAAGGCCCUGCUUGUGUGGGGUGCUCGAGGGGCGAACGGGGGAGUAACACGUGAGUAACGUGCCCUUGACUUUGGGGUAACUUCAGGAAACUGGGGCUAAUACCAUAUAGGAUCUCCUGCUGCGUGGUGGGGGUUGGAAAGUUUCGGCGGUUGGGGAUGGACUCGCGGCUUAUCAGCUUGUUGGUGGGGUAGUGGCUUACCAAGGCUUUGACGGGUAGCCGGCCUGAGAGGGUGACCGGCCACAUUGGGACUGAGAUACGGCCCAGACUCCUACGGGAGGCAGCAGUGGGGAAUAUUGCACAAUGGGCGGAAGCCUGAUGCAGCAACGCCGCGUGCGGGAUGACGGCCUUCGGGUUGUAAACCGCUUUCGCCUGUGACGAAGCGUGAGUGACGGUAAUGGGUAAAGAAGCACCGGCUAACUACGUG